rfam:Myotis brandtii contig297507, whole genome shotgun sequence.
AGGCCUGCAGAGAGAGAGGCAGGGUUUGAUCUGCAGCCUCAGUGGCAGCUGUUGAUCAGCCCUUGCCUAUCUCUUUCUAUCCG